GUCGGAGCCUGAGGAAACGAUCACGCAGACCUCCCACACUUCCACCCCUCGAAUUCUAGAGUGAGAAAAAUGCAAUGAAGUUGGUCAUUGUAUCACAUCAUAACGUUUGGAUCAAGGCCGGCAGAUUUGACCUCCACUUUCAACUUCAAGCAGAGCCAGACAUGGGCCGCGCAGGCUGAUGAGCGAGCCAGCUCUGAAUUUCAUCAAGGUGAGG